AUACGUAGGGGCGAGCGUUAUCCGGAUUUAUUGGGCGUAAAGCGUGUGUAGGCGGUCUUGCAAGUCAGAAGUGAAAUUCCUGAGCUCAACUCGGGCGCUGCUUCUGAAACUGCAGGACUUGAGUGCUGGAGGGGAUAGCGGAAUUCCUAGUGGAGCGGUAAAAUGCGCAGAUAUUAGGAAGAACACCGGUGGCGAAGGCGGCUAUCUGGACAGUAACUGACGCUGAGGCGCGAAAGCACGGGGAGCAAACAGGAUUAGAUACCCUGGUAGUCCGUGCCGUAAACGAUGAAUACUAGGUGUAGGGGGUAUCGACUCCCUCUGUGCCGCAGUUAACACAUUAAGUAUUCCACCUGGGGAGUACGGCCGCAAGGUUGAAACUCAAAUGAAUUGACGGGG
rnacentral:rRNA from 1 species